AUUGAACGCUGGCGGCAGGCCUAACACAUGCAAGUCGAACGAGUGGCGGACGGGUGAGUAAUGUCUGGGAAACUGCCUGAUGGAGGGUGAUAACUACUGGAAACGGUAGCUAAUACCGCAUACCAUCGGAUGUGCCCAGAGGGGAUUAGCUAGUAGGUGGGGGAAAGGCUCACCUAGGCGACGCUCCCUAGCUGGUCUGAGAGGAGGACCAGCCACACUGUAACGGAGACACGGUCCAGACUCCGACGGGAGGCAGCAGUGGGGAAUAUUGCACAAGGGGAGCAAGACUGAUGCAGCCAGGCCGCGUGUAUGAAGAAGGCCUUCGGGUUGUAAAGUACGUUCAGCGGGGAGGCGUUACCCGCAGAAGAAGCACCGGCUAACUCCGUGCCAGCGGCCGCGGUAAUUG
rnacentral:rRNA from 1 species